UACGUAGGGGGCAAGCGUUGUCCGGAAUCAUUGGGCGUAAAGAGCGCGUAGGCGGCCCGGUAAGUCCGCUGUGAAAGUCAAAGGCUCAACCUUGAAUGUCAGCGGAUACUGCCGGGCUAGAGUCCGGAAGAGGCGAGUGGAACUCCUGGUGUAGCGGUGGAAUGCGCAGAUAUCAGGAGGAACACCGGUGGUGUAGACGGGCUCCUCUCGGACCAUUACUGACGCUGAGACACGAAAGCGUGGGUAGCAAACAGGG
rnacentral:rRNA from 1 species